AGUUUGUCAACAGUCAACACAUUUAAAGAAUUGAAUGAUGUUUUAUUUGAAUUUGGAAUAUAUACUGCGCGUUUGGUUUACUGUGGUGGUUGUUCGUAGAUAUUGAGGUUCAGCACGUUAAGUACAGCUCCAAAAAAACAUGUCAUUUAUCGGAUUUUGGCCAGGAAACUGUGCUUAUGAAACUGCCGGGUGGGUGGGGAGAGAAAUGUUCAUUUCGGAAGUGUUGACAGAAAUGCAUGAAACAGAUGGAGUUGCAGUAGAGCAUGUUGCCAAAAGACAGUCAUGUGUGAGGAAAUAUCUGGACUACUGCUCCGAAAGAUAGAGUAUGGGUACUUUGCUCUUUGAAGUUUCCGUCAAUGCUUCCCACGAUGCUACGCAAUGUGACAGGCUCGUAUUCAUCAUCAUCAUUCUUGCGAAUAGAGAGCAGAAUAGCAGAUAUGUGGCAAGAUAUUCAUCUAGAUGGUCGACUGAUAAAUUGUGGAUUGCCUUUGUUUCGCCUUUCUUGGCAAGAUAUUUUUUAAAUCGACUGACAUCUGCCAGAGUUUUCCGGAUAGUGUUUUUGUUAUCUUCGGCUUAAAUUAAUUUGUGUACAUCUUCGGUUGUUAUUUCUAUGGCGUCUGAUAUGUUUUCACUGUUCUCAGUUUUUGAUUUUGUUUCAGUAAGGGAUUCAAAAUAACUUUUAUCUAAAUUGACAUUUGCAUUCGUGAUUUCAUCAAAUGGUUCAUUAAACACACUCGGAUUUAUUCCAAACUGAUUGGCAAAGUCUUCCUCAGUCAUAACAACUUCCUCCAUUAAACCGUCCCGAACAAUGUCAAACUUACCUCCAUCCACAAAGUCUGACAUGGUAAUGUUUAUUUAUUGUAUUUAUAUAUGUUUCUUAUGUUUAAGUCCUUAUUUUCAAAAGAAAUUAGCUUUUAACGAGCCUUAUCAAACACAAUUCAUGUGACAAAAUUGGCAAACUGUAGAAGACGACAAAUGUAACCUUAAUAAUGAUUUAUGAUUUAAAAUUAUUUCAUUACUUAAUGUAUAUUACAUUGGGUUUUUAUUGUGAAGUGUGUUACUAUUUUAUUUUUUACUAUUUUUACUGCUUUUGUAUUGUUUGUUUUAUUUGUUUGGUCUGUUUAUAUUAAGUGCUGAACUUUUGACCUAACCUUUGCCCUUGAUGUUUGCAUAUGAAGGCAUGUAAAAAAAGUAGUCCGUUUGUUACAUGACGUCAUCAGCAUGUACUUAUUCAUUCUUAAUAUUUGUAAAAUACCUUUUUUCUGUUUUUGUUGUUGUUUGUGGAUUAAAUGUAAUACAUA